rnacentral:rRNA from 1 species
AUUAAAUGAGAGUUUGAUCCUGGCUCAGGACGAACGCUGGCGGCGUGCCUAAUACAUGCAAGUAGAACGCUGAAGACUUUAGCUUGCUAAAGUUGGAAGAGUUGCGAACGGGUGAGUAACGCGUAGGUAACCUGCCUACUAGCGGGGGAUAACUAUUGGAAACGAUAGCUAAUACCGCAUAACAGCA